rnacentral:rRNA from 1 species
CUUGCUUUUCUUGAUUAGUGGCGCACGGGUGAGUAAUGCAUAGAUAAUAUGCCCCUUAGUUCGGGAUAGCCACUGGAAACGGUGAUUAAUACCGGAUACUCCUUCUUGUUAUAAGACAAGUCGGGAAAGUUUUUCGCUAAGGGAUCAGUCUGUGUUCCAUCAGCUUGUUGGUGAGGUAAUGGCUCACCAAGGCUAUGACGGAUAUCUGGUUUGAGAGGAUGAUCAGACACACUGGAACUGAGACACGGUCCAGACUCCUACGGGAGGCAGCAGUGAGGAACAUUGCACAAUGGAGGAAACUCUGAUGCAGCAACGCCGCGUGGAGGAUGACGCAUUUCGGUGUGUAAACUCCUUUUAUUAGGGAAGAUAAUGACGGUACCUAAUGAAUAAGCACCGGCUAACUCCGUGCCAGCAGCCGCGGUAAUACGGAGGGUGCAAGCGUUACUCGGAAUCACUGGGCGUAAAGGGUGCGUAGGCUGGCUUUUAAGUCAGAUGUGAAAUCCAAUGGCUCAACCAUUGAACUGCAUUUGAAACUGAAAGCCUAGAGUUCAGAAGGGGCAGAUGGAAUUAGUGGUGUAGGGGUAAAAUCCGUAGAUAUCACUAGGAAUAUCAAAAGCGAAGGCGAUCUGCUGGGAUGAUACUGACGCUG